rnacentral:rRNA from 1 species
GAUGAACGCUGGCGGCGUGCCUAACACAUGCAAGUCGAACGGAGUCCAGCCUUAGAGACCUUCAGGUCAAAGAGGGGAAGACUGAGUGGCGGACGGGUGAGUAACACGUGGGCAACCUGGCUCAUAGAGGGGGAUAACAGAGAGAAAUUUCUGCUAAUACCGCAUAAGCACACACUGCCGCAUGGCAGAGUGUGAAAAGAGAAUCGCUAUGAGAUGGACCCGCGUCUGAUUAGCCAGUUGGCAGGGUAAGAGCCUACCAAAGCGACGAUCAGUAGCCGAUUUGAGAGGAUGAACGGCCACAUUGGGACUGAGACACGGCCCAAACUCCUACGGGAGGCAGCAGUGUGGGAUAUUGCACAAUGGGGGGAACCCUGAUGCAGCGACGCCGCGUGAGUGAAGAAGUAUUUCGGUAUGUAAAGCUCUAUCAGCAGGGAAGAUAAUGACAGUACCUGAAUAAGAAGCCCCGGCUAACUACGUG